rnacentral:rRNA from 1 species
AGGACGAACGCUGGCGGCGUGCCUAAUACAUGCAAGUCGAACGAGGUUCAACCGGUGGCAACACUGGUGAAGACCUAGUGGCGAACGGGUGCGUAACACGUGAGCAACCUGCCCCGAAGACCGGGAUAACACCGGGAAACCGAUGCUAAUACCGGAUGCCCCCACGAGCCCGCAUGGGUUUGUGAGGAAAGGAUUCCGCUUCGGGAGGGGCUCGCGGCCUAUCAGCUUGUUGGUGGGGUAAUGGCCUACCAAGGCGACGACGGGUAGCUGGUCUGAGAGGACGAUCAGCCACACUGGGACUGAGACACGGCCCAGACUCCUACGGGAGGCAGCAGUAGGGAAUCUUGCGCAAUGGGCGAAAGCCUGACGCAGCAACGCCGCGUGGGGGAUGAAGGCCUUCGGGUUGUAAACUCCUUUCAGUGGGAACGAAAAUGACGGUACCCACAGAAGGAGCCCCGGCCAACUACGUGCCAGCAGCCGCGGUGAUACGUAGGGGGCGAGCGUUGUCCGGAUUUAUUGGGCGUAAAGAGCUCGUAGGCGGUUUGGUAAGUCGGGUGUGAAACCUCCAGGCUCAACCUGGAGACGCCACUCGAUACUGCCCUGACUAGAGUCCGGUAGGGGACCAUGGUAUUCCUGGUGUAGCGGUGAAAUGCGCAGAUAUCAGGAGGAACACCAGUAGCGAAGGCGGUGGUCUGGGCCGGUACUGACGCUGAGGAGCGAAAGCGUGGGGAGCGAACAAGAUUAGAUACCCUGGUAGUCCACGCCGUAAACGUUGGGCACUAGGUGUGGGGCUCUAUCGACGGGUUCCGUGCCGCAGCUAACGCAUUAAGUGCCCCGCCUGGGGAGUACGGCCGCAAGGCUA